rnacentral:rRNA from 1 species
UACGAAGGGGGCAAGCGUUGUCCGGAUUUAUUGGGCGUAAAGCGCGUGUAGGUGGCCAAGUAGGUCCGCUGUGAAAACUUGAGGCUCAACCUCAAGCUGUCGGUGGAAACCCCUUGGCUAGAGUCCGGAAGAGGAGAGUGGAAUUCCUGGUGUAGCGGUGAAAUGCGCAGAUAUCAGGAAGAACACCAAUGGCGAAGGCAGCUCUCUGGGACGGUACUGACACUGAGACGCGAAAGCGUGGGGAGCGAACAGG